AUGGCUCCGGUGGUUAGUGUGCGCCGCAGAGCGACUGCAACUUUACUGUGUUGUUGGUUGCAACCGGCGUUUUGGUUUGCUGGUGGCAAGCUAGCUUCGGUCAGCGGCGGUGUUGUAGAAGCCUUUAUAUUCCUGGUUGAUGAUGCUGCGCCAGGAUCCUCAGGAUCCCGAGCCCGAGCGACGAGGUGGUCCAAAUCUGGCACGGGGACCGGUCGGCGAUCCAACCGGCCGACCGUGGUGACCGUGAGCUGCCACGACCAGACGGGCUUGGGCUGCGAUCUCUGCCGCCUCGUCCUCCUCUUCGGCCUCAACGUCUUCAAGGGCGACAUGAGCACCGACGGCCGCUGGUGCUACAUCGUGCUCUGGGUGGCCGCCUCGCGCCGGGGCCGGGCCGUCGCAUGUCCUCAAGGAGCGCCUCGUCGAGCUCUGCCCCGUCCCCGCGCCCUUCGGCGUCGACAGCGACUACCUCGCAGCCGCCGGCCUCCAGGAUCCCGACAGCCUCGCGGAGCCCCAGGUGUUUCUGCUCAAGUUCUGCUGCUACGACCGGAUGGGCCUCCUGCACGGUAA
rnacentral:rRNA from 1 species